rnacentral:snRNA from 1 species
AUCGCUUCUCGGACUUUUGGCUAAGAUCAAGUGUAGUAUCUGUUCUUAUCAGUUUACUAUCUGAUAUGUCCUCUAUAUUAAAUGGAUUUUUGGGACUGCGAGAUGGAAUAGGGGAAAAUAAAAAAAAGAAAGUCACAAUUCACUACCCGAGAUCUUAAUUAUA